rnacentral:rRNA from 1 species
AUUGAACGCUGGCGGCAUGCCUUACACAUGCAAGUCGAACGGCAGCACGGGAGCAAUCCUGGUGGCGAGUGGCGAACGGGUGAGUAAUAUAUCGGAACGUGCCCAGUAGUGGGGGGUAACGUAGCGAAAGCUACGCUAAUACCGCAUACGAUCUAUGGAUGAAAGCGGGGGAUCGCAAGACCUCGCGCGAUUGGAGCGGCCGAUAUCAGAUUAGGUAGUUGGUGAGGUAAAGGCUCACCAAGCCGACGAUCUGUAGCGGGUCUGAGAGGACGACCAGCCACACUGGGACUGAGACACGGCCCAGACUCCUACGGGAGGCAGCAGUGGGGAAUUUUGGACAAUGGGCGCAAGCCUGAUCCAGCAAUGCCGCGUGCAGGAUGAAGGCCUUCGGGUUGUAAACUGCUUUUGUACGGAGCGAAAAGGCUUCCACUAAUACUGGGGGCUCAUGACGGUACCGUAAGAAUAAGCACCGGCUAACUACGUGCCAGCCGCCGCCGUAACAC